GCACUGGAGGUAUAGUGGUGAGCAUAGCUGCCUUCCAAGCAGUUGAUCCGGGUUCAUUUCCUGCCCAACGCA
rnacentral:tRNA from 1 species